GGACGAACGCUGGCGGCGUGCUUAACACAUGCAAGUCGAGCGGUAAGGCCCUUUCGGGGGUACACGAGCGGCGAACGGGUGAGUAACACGUGGGUGACCUGCCCUUAGCUCUGGGAUAAGCCUGGGAAACUGGGUCUAAUACCGGAUAUGACUCCAUGACGCAUGUUGUGGGGUGGAAAGCCUUGUGCGGCUAGGGAUGGGCCCGCGGCCUAUCAGCUUGUUGGUGGGGUGAUGGCCUACCAAGGCGACGACGGGUAGCCGGCCUGAGAGGGCGACCGGCCACACUGGGACUGAGACACGGCCCAGACUCCUACGGGAGGCAGCAGUGGGGAAUCUUGCGCAAUGGGCGAAAGCCUGACGCAGCGACGCCGCGUGGGGA
rnacentral:rRNA from 1 species